UACGAGAGGUGCAAGCGUUGUCCGGAUUUAUUGGGCGUAAAGCGUUUCUAAAGGCGCUUUUGCAAGUUGUUUUUCAAAGACCGAGGCUCAACCUCGGAAAGGGAGGCAAUACUGCAAGAGUUGAAAUAUUUCGGGGUUACUAGAACUAUCGGUGUAGGGGUGAAAUCCGUUGAUAUCGAUAGGAAUUCCAAGGGCGAAGGCAGGUAACUAGGAAUUUUUUGACGCUGAUGAACGAAAGCUAGGGGAGCGAAAGGG
rnacentral:rRNA from 1 species